GAAAAACUUAUUUUUCUCCCACAUACUCUCUCUCUAAAAAAAUUUCUCUCUCCUCUUACAAAAGUUCUGAUUAUUUGAGAAGAGGAAAUUGAUCUAAGCAUAUUGAGAUAAGUUGUUUGAUUUAUUUAUUUGAAUUAUCUCUUGCUUAUUUAUAUUUAUAGAUAUACGAAUAUAAAUUGUUCUACACAAUUCUAUAUAUUUAUAUUUCAUCUAUUUAUCAAAUAAAAGGAUACUUGAGCGCCGCAAGGCUACGAAGAUAAACCUCUACGGAGAGGAAUCCGACCGUACGAUUUCUUAUAGUCUUCAGUAACCUUU
rnacentral:lncRNA from 1 species